UAGGGAAUCUUCCACAAUGGACGAAAGUCUGAUGGAGCAACGCCGCGUGAGUGAAGAAGGGUUCCGGCUCGUAAAACUCUGUUGUUAAAGAAGAACAUAUCUGAGAGUAACUGUUCAGGUAUUGACGGUAUUUAACCAGAAAGCCACGGCUAACUACGUGCCAC
rnacentral:rRNA from 1 species